ACCUAUACUUUAUUUUAGCAUAUAAGCAUGACCACAAUUGUCUGUGUCAAGUAUCCACAGAUUGGCUUUUGCAACAUGUUCCUAAGAUGCUUAUGAAAAAUUCCUUUAGAGUGCUCCCGAUUUCCCUUCUUGUUUGCGACUCUUGAGACUGCAGAUGGGCUGCACUUUAAGUCUUCAUGCAAUCGAGUUUGAGAACUUCUUUUUUAGACAUAAUUACAUCCCCCCAGGAGCUGGAUCUCAUUCAACAUGCAGAAUAAAUCACAACACUUAGUAGGACUGUACCAGAUUGAAGAAGUCCAGAGAGGAAAUCUCACACAUUUGUGAAAUGCCUCACUUGCACUAGUUGCUCUUUAUUUAUGUAUUUAUAUUUCCUGCAAAGGUAGUGCAGACGUACAAGCUGUUGUCUUUAGAUAGAAUCAAAACAUGUCCAUUCCUCGAAGCGAGAGAGUGAAAUCAGAUUCUGAUUGCUAAAUGGGGACAGCUUCACCAUCUUUUAUCUACUGCUGCUUUAGGAAGGACAAAUGGAAAGUACCUGCUCUUCAUUCUGCAGUGAAACUAGAAGCCAGACAGAACAUUGGGCGAUCUAAGCUUCUGGUUUGAAGUGCGUCUCCUGCCUCUGGAGCAGAGAGGCACUGACUGAGCUGUCCAUGCUGUUUGGCUACCAAGGAACUUUCCACAUCUCUGACUGCCCCUGUUUCUUGGUUCCUCUCUAUUCUGAGACGGUUCCGAAUGCUUCUUGCGUAUGGUCUCUGUGCUUUGAGAUAACAUGUGAACAGGAAACUUCUUGAUUAUUUUUCUUCCUGUUAGUUGUUGGGGAAGUCUUCUCUUUUUUCCCUUCUCAGAUCCACAUGACUACCAGAAGUCGAGGAGCAGAUAGGUAAGCACUAAAAACAAACGCAGCAGAGCGAGCCAUCUGGUGUGUGGAGGAGGGCUGACUCCUACAGCUCUGAUCUCAGCACUAACGUGCGGCAUCUGUGCAGGACUGGGGACCGGGAUGUGCAGCACAAUUAGCCACAUGAAGAGCUGGCAUCUAAACAUCCUGGGGGAUGAAGUGCCUGAUGCUCAGGCAGCUUUCCAUAGCAGACUAAGGAGCAAAACCAGCCCCAGGGCAGUGGGGAGAAGUCUUGGGAUGCAAAUCUCUGUUCCUCACUGGAAAGCAUUGGUCAUGGGCAUCGUUCUCUGCACUCACACUGUGGUUUAAGUGUUGUGUUUGUCCCUGCAAAAAAGUGUCUUGACAAAAAUGUCAGAAGUGGUUACUCAGCCCAACUAAGUUUUCAGCUUCCAUCCUCAACUUACCCGAUGGGCAGAGCAUUCCCUAAUGGGAUGUGGGGAUGACAGAAAUUCCUCAUAGUUGCUCUUGUGGGAGCUUCUUCAGGCUGUGUCAAUGCCAAGUAAAAUGGGUUCACAGUAUCAGUGUUCCCGAAAUCUGACAGCCUUGUAGACAAACCAGCCCCAGCCCAAUGUUUCUCCAUGCUCUGCUUCACCAUGCAACGGCUGACUGAGAUGAACUUGCUGACUCCUCACACAUCCAUUGAGUAAAACCAACUGAGCUUCCAAAAAGAUGCUGCUGCUUCUGCUGUCUGGUUUAGGGUUGUAUUAAGCCCUUACUCUAGAGCUUCUACUGAGAGGGAGCUUCUCUCAAGGGGAGUGAAACUGAUGGUUUCCAAGCUUAGGACAAGAUGAACUCUCACAGAGCCAGCAAUAAAAUUGUGAGUGCACAGCAAGCUGUUAGGCAGUGAUCCCUAUUCUAUCUAAAGUCAUUACCUGCUGGUUUAUCUCCCCUUCUUAGUGAGACAAUAACCUAAGGAUAUGCAUGAAUCAUAGAAUAAUGAAGUGGUUUGGGUUGGAAGGCACCUUAAAGCUCAUCCAGUUCCAACCCCUGCCAUGGGCAGGGGCGCCUUCCACUAGAGCAGCUUGCUCCAAGCCCCUGUGUCCAACCUGGCCUUGAACACUGCCAGGGAUGGGGCAUCUAUGGGCAAUCUGUGCCAGUAAAGAAACAGAAGUGAAGGGGUAAAUAGUUCAUAUUCACAUCAAGCUUCAAAGACAUAAAUGGCUAGAGUUGCAAAGUGUUAUUAUCUGCCACUUUGGAAAGACGCUCCAGAUUCUGUGGGAUUCAAAGCAAAGUAGAAAAUUAGGCUGUUUAUUCUACAAUUCACUGGAAAAAUAAGUUUCUAUAGAAACUACCACUUCAGAGGUAUUUACAUUUCUCUACUAUGAAGCAUCUUAAGAAAGAGCAUUCCCAUAAAUAGCAAAUAGAAGUUGUUGUGUUUGGUAUAAUAAGCUACUACUUACAAAAGGCUGUGUACAUUCUAAGUAUUAUGAUGGGGUUGCUGUAUAAACCGUGGAUCCAUUGAAUAUAUUCGAAGAGACUCAAAACACCCCAUAAGAAAAAUGAGAUAGUGAUGUGUAAAGUAAUGUGUAAGAAUUCCUUUGUGCCCUUCCGGUGAUGAAUCUGCACUCAAACAGAAGAUUGAAUUAAUAGCUCUGGCAGAGCUGAUUCUUUAAAAGUCCAUUUAUGAGUAAGAGCUGUGCCCUAAAUCCAUUAAAAGACUGUGAGGCUUGAAUAGAAGAAUAAUCCUUCCUACCAUAUGGGUGAGAAAGGAGUUGAGAUCAAGUAACUGGACAUUCAAACCGAAACAUUUUCCCUUCUGUGCUGCCUUGGUUCUAAGUGGGCCGUGGUUUUCUGAAGCUGUAGCUGUGAUGUUUGCUAUGUUUUCCUAUACAAGACCUGUGUUUAAAAAGAAAACCCAAACAACCAAAACCCAAAAUGGCCAACCAAAAAGUAACCUAGCCAAAAUCUAAUUCUUUUCCCCAUGCAUUUAAGUUACUACUGUCAAGACAAGUUUAACAUACACGGUAUAAUUGCUUCACCAAGAUACUGUGUUCACACCGACCAUACUUGUGCCUAUUUUGAGGUUUUUAGUCGCCUAUGUAUUGUUAAAUAAAACACACCCCCAUUGUGUAGGGGUGUGCAUGCACAGAUCAACUUGAACAUGGGAUAUGUGGGUAUUUGACCAUGCCUGGAGGUGAUGAAGUCUACACAAUCAUAGUCUGCUUCCUUUGUUUGCUUGUUUCAGAAGCUGCAAUCUCUGUCUUGCAUUUAUGUCCCUGGACCCUAAGUAAUGUCAGGAGGCUUCUGUAUUGGAUGUGACCUGGUGAGGAAUUACAACUAACAGGGAAUUCCAGUGAAGAUAUGAAUCAAAGGGUAGGUUCUGCCCUUCUUCCUCCAAGGGAAUGAUCCCUUAUUCCCUGGGAGGUGCCACCCCAGUGGUUUCCUAUUUUCCAUAAGUCAGUAAGUAGGGACCAAGCAGAUGUAAACGUGGAGAGCUGUGUCCCAUGUGCUGUGCUCCACACUGGCACUGCAAACACCCUGCCUUUGCUGUCUUGCAAAGCUGCACUUGCCCCGUCGGGCUUGGCAGCUGCCUGAAAAUAGCCAUUUCCUUCAGCUCUCAUUUGCCUGUAACAAUCUUGAACUUGUUGACCUUUGUGCCUAUUAAUUAUUGAUAUAACGUUGCAUUAUUUAGGCUUGUUUGAGCAGACAGAUACAUCGUGGCCAGACAGGCUGAUGGAUAACAUCCUAAAAAAAGUCUCAAGUUGCCUUGGUACAACAAAGGGCUGUCACUUCAUUACCUUCCCCUUACCCCCUCCUCUCGCUGGCAAAGUACUGCUUAAAACCUUACUAGGAAUCUGAAGUAUAAUAGUGAUCUCUUCAGACAAGGGGCUUCAUCUUGACUCUGUUGGCGUUGUGGUCCUGAUGCUGGUCAAAUACACAGAGGAAGCUUCUUAACCAAUCCUCUGAGGCUGUGUUUCUUAAGAUACGACCAAUUGUUUUGUUUUUCAAGCCCUUGCCAUGGAAAGGAGACUUGAUUUCUCCCUGGUUGCUAUGAGCUGUAUUGCAACACUCCAGAGACACAGGCACAGCUUGAUGUGUAUCUCCCAGGGAAACCUGCCUUUGAUUUCUCUCAAACCCCGCCGCAGUCAUGUUGUCUAUGGAGCCAAGAAAAAGGCGUAUCACAGCGAACUGUCUGUAACUCAAAACACGGAUGUGGAGCAGUUCUGAACCUUCGGGACUGCAGCAUAGCUUCAGCUGAAGCAGGAAGGAAGGAACACAGCCCUCCGUGGCAGUCCUAUCAGGGUGAGGAGCGCGGGGUGCAUCACAGGUGACGAGCAGCACUGAAUGCAUGACGAGCUUGUGAGUGCCUGCGUGCUGCCUCUUCCCUCUCUGCUCGUCAUGCUUUGCUGUGUCGCAACCUGCUCUGAUGUCAGAAUCCCACUGCUCGAUACGUUGUCUCUAUGAAAGCAGAACAGGCGGAGAAAGAGGAAGGAAAGCAGGAGGAGGAGGAGGAG